UAAAUGACAAGGGAGAAGAGCAUGAUUUGAUCUGGUCCGGUUCGAUUGCAGACCGGAUUGGUUUCGUUUUCCUACCAAUUAUACUCGGUUGUAUCGCAACCAUGUAGUAUGCACGACGGGCGAAGCGAAGCCGCGGUAGUCGACGAGUUCACUCGAUUCGCCGCACAAGUUUGGAGGGAACAUCGACUCGUAGGUUAAAAUUGCUUCGUUUUCCGUCUAAUUGCGAACGAUUUUGCUUUUGUUCCAUAGGACUCUGAUUUGCGUACCCGAUCGUGCUCGCCUCGGGCCUUCCUGGAGAAUUUGGCCCUUCUUAGGGCAUGAAGACGUUAGCACUGGGGGCUUUACAUGCUUAAAAUCCAGCGAUGUUCGUGGGAGUCUCAGUACAGACAUUUUAAAGGUGUGUCAAUACUGGAUGUCACUUAAGCUCUGAACACAAUGAGGUGGUUGUCCAAAGGUGCAGGGGGGGCAUACAUGUGAGCCCUCAUGUUCCUAGGGGCCAAAUGUGAGACAAAUAGUAUCUCACAUACUUUAUUGAUUCAUGUGGUGCCAAAGAGCCAGGGAAGUUUAUAUUUUGUUCAACAGAUGUGAGUCAUUUGUUUAUAGGACCGUAUGGUAAGUGUCAAUUUCCAUCUUUCCAUGUACCCUACACUGUUUGCAUACUAGCUCAUGCCACCUGCUUUUUACUGCACCCCAAUGUACCCUCUGUUGCAACCUCUGUGCUCCUUCUCAAUGGCCAUUUCCCAUCUCUUUCCCACUUCCCAACACCUUUAAAAGCCAGGCUAAAGGUAAAAAAAAGGUAACCUACUGACCAUUUGGGUCUGUGACAUGAAUCACCUUUUGAUGGAGCAGGAGGCCUAUCUUCCUUCAUAUUGUUUUCUCUGGCUUUUCAUCAUGGAUAGAAGAAUUAAUAAUGUAUGGAAUAUGGACAUUGGACAUGACAGCUAGUAUUUGUUGAGCAAUGUGCUCUGAACAUGGUUUUGUACCCAAAAGUAAGUCAUGUCUGAGUGACAAAUUUCACAUUCUACUAUCUGAUUUCUCUAUGAAUUUAAGAAUUCAUAAUGUACAGACAGUAUGGGCAGUGGAAAUGACAUAAUAGCAUUUGUUCCAUCAACCAUCUGUCUCCGGGAUCCCUCUGGUGGAGCAAUGAGCUGUUGACAUGGUUUUGUGCCCUAAAGUAAGCCACUGCUGAGUGACAAGCUCUCAUCCAUCCCCUUUGAUGAUUGUCCACUUGAGGAAUGUUGGGGACUCUGCACCAAGAAUAUCAGAGCUGGCCUGUAUGGUUUGUACCUGUAAGUGCCUGAAGGGAACUGAUGAGUAAGUACACUGACCAUUUAUUAUGAUAAGGAUGGACUGCUCACCGCAUGAUUAACUUUGUUUUGUAAGCUUGCUGAAGGUGUCUCCCUCACCCCUUUUCUUGGCUCCACCUCUCAAUUAUGUAGUGAGAUGCAGAUGAAAUCUCUUUAUCAUCUUGCAAGGACACGACACAAGGCACGAGCUCUUCUUGGCAGUCGCUAAGGCUAGAGAGCGGGCGAUCCGUACUUACCCCUACAUCUUCCAGUCGAAAAAGCUGUUGCUGUCGCCAUGUCAUCAGAGCUCUGAGUCAUAACGCAGCUCACGGAAGCUGAAGUGGACUCCAAAUCCUCUGCGGCACGAAUCUUGGCGGCCGCGAUCAAGGAUCUACGUGCAUCCCAAAGCAUUCGGCCCCGCGAUGGAAUCGGUGAAGGCCCUAAGAUGUUACGACGGCUCCGAGGUCGACACGUAGCGGGCAGUAUGUGCGUUUGCGAGGGCGGCGCCAAAUAGGCGGCGCGACUAUUAACGCGCUCGGGGCGGACAACUAACUUGCGCCCCCGCCCGCAGCCGUAGGAUCGACAGACCGCCUCGUGAGCACCGUCCAAUCUGUGCGGCCCCCGUUCUCAAAUCACGUGACGUCCGCCCGUCUCCGAAAAGAGAACGUAUUAAUGUUUUGUGAACACUUGUAUUUUUAGAGAACUUGAAACA